rnacentral:rRNA from 1 species
UGCAUAUCAAUAAGCGGAGGAAAAGAAACUAACAAGGAUUCCCCUAGUAACUGCGAGUGAAGCGGGAAAAGCUCAAAUUUAAAAUCUGGCGGUCUUUGGCCGUCCGAGUUGUAGUCUGGAGAAGUGCUUUCCGCGCUGGACCGUGUAUAAGUCUCUUGGAACAGAGCGUCAUAGAGGGUGAGAAUCCCGUCUUUGACACGGACUACCAGUGCUUUGUGAUGCGCUCUCAAAGAGUCGCGUUGUUUGGGAAUGCAGCGCAAAAUGGGUGGUGAAUUCCAUCUAAAGCUAAAUAUUGGCGAGAGACCGAUAGCGAACAAGUACCGUGAGGGAAAGAUGAAAAGCACUUUGGAAAGAGAGUUAAACAGUACGUGAAAUUGCUGAAAGGGAAACGCUUGAAGUCAGUCGCGUUGUCCGGGACUCAGCCUUGCUUCGGCUUGGUGCACUUUCCGGAUGACGGGCCAGCAUCGAUUUUGACCGCUGGAAAAGGGCUGGAGGAAUGUGGCACCUUCGGGUGUGUUAUAGCCUCCAGUCGCAUACGGCGGUUGGGAUCGAGGAACGCAGCACGCCUUACGGCGGGGGUUCGCCCACCUUCGUGCUUAGAUGCUGGCACAUUGGCAGUUAAACGACCCGUCUUGAAACACGGACA